GCCUGCCGCAGGGAUGCCUGGGAACUGUAGUGCUUGCCUGCCUGGCUGUGCUCAGUGGGCAGGGACCUUUACGCGAGAGGAGUUGCAAGGAAAUGCAGCGGGUCGCUGCAGUGCAGGUAUAUAUUCCAUAGCAGGAUCAGAAUCUUCAGAACAAAUGGGAGAUUUUUACAAGUAGAAGAUUCUCAAGGCCACAGGAUGAGACGGAGUCCAAAAUGAAACAAUGGCUGAUUCCAGAAAGACCAGACACACAGAGGCAAUUCACCAACAGAAACAGACAAAGGUGUAACCUGAAUGCCAAACAGGGACUCUGUUCCAAUAGUAGGACACAAAGAGAGGGAACGCUAGGUCCCUCUGCAUGUAGAUAUGCCCUACCACGAGGGCUUAAAUUAUUGUUCACAUGCAGAAGGGGACAGAAGGGAAGUGGCAAAAGAGCAUUUGACUUGGGAACAUAGGAAGUUGCCUUAUACCGAGUCAGACCCUUGGUCCAUGACUGGAAGCUGCUUUGCCAGGGUUUCAGAGUGGGGUCUUUCCCAGCCCUAUCUAGAGAUAUCACCAGAGAUGGAAUCUGGGACCGUCUACAUGCAAAGCAGAUGCUCUACUACUGUGAAGAGGCUUCUGAUGGAGAUCUACAUGACACUGCUCUCUGGUUGGUUUUUUUCCUUUCUGUUUUAACAAAAGAACUGCAAAUUGAAUAUCCAUCUGCAAGCAACAGUAGCAAUCUUCAGACAGCUUUGCCAUCUUCACACAAGUUCCUGUUGUAGUGGCCACAAUGAUUAUUAUCCGGCUAAAUAGAUCUUCCCAACUUUCCAUCAUCUUCCAUCAAAGAUUUCAAGAGGCUUCACACUUGUGAAAAAUGGGGAGUGGAUGGCUUCUGCAGGCAAAGAGAUGAAAAAUACCUGAAUGUGGGAAAUAUAUUUUCUGCUGUUUGCUUUUUAGCAAAGAGCACUUUAUAGAAUGUGUCCAUUAUCCAGCUAAAUUUAUAUUCUGUUAAAUCCCAUUGAAUUCCAGCUGUGCUUAAACCUUUCAAUUUAAAUAAAUGAAAGAUGUUUACAUUUGCUGGAUUUUGCCUUAGAAGAUAUUUUAUGUAUUUAUUAUUAUUACUAUUACUACUACUAAUAAUAAUAAUACAAUGACAACGAUGCUAUUUACACACAGUCUACCAGAUGUUACUGUAAUUAUCGGGCCCUUUCCAAGGGUCUAGGAUAAUUAAAGGAGAAUUAAAUAUAUUGUUGUACUAUUCAUGCUUCCCCAAGUAGUGUGGCCUUCUGUGGUUGAUGUAUUGUAGUUUUAUCGAUGCCCAAGGUGUCGAGAUGGUGUUCAAAUUCUUUUGGUACUGAACCAAUGGCACCCACAACUAUUGACACCACUAUUGUUUUCUUUUUCCAGAGCCACUCAAUUUCAAUCUGAAGGUCCUUGCAUUUGGUUCUUUUCUCCAAUUGUUUUUCGUUGAUUCAUCUAUCCCCUGGGAUUGCAAUAUCAGUUAUCAGAACCUGAUUCUUCUCAAUGACUGUCAGAUCAGGCAUAUUGUGCCCUAAAUGCCUAUUGCAUUGCCUUUUAAAUGUAAAUGUUAAAUUGUAAAUUGUUAAAUUGUAAUUGUUAAAUGUUAAAUUGUAAAUGCCUUUUGUAUUCGAAAAUCCCAAAGGAUUUUUGACUCUUCAUUUUCUGUGAUCUUCUCAAUUGGAUGAUUCCACCAAUUCUUGCUUGCUGGCAAUUUGCUGGCAAUUAUUUUAUCAUCAUCAUCAUCAUCAUCAUCAUCAUCAUCAUCAUUUUCAUUAUUUUCAUUAUUAUUAUUAUACCACCCAAAACGCAAGUCUCUGGGAGAUUUAAAACAAAACAAUACAAUCAGCAGUUUGAUCUGGAAGCUUUUUGUAAAUUCCUUUGGCCAGUCGGAUUUCUCCUUGUGGCUCAGGUGAGGUCAAAUUUGCCCAACAUGUGCUAUUGUUUUGCCCUUUUUAUAAUGAUAGUCGGUGUAAUCUUAUUGCUCCCCUGCUAUCACACUUUCCCUGCCAAACUGCUGGAUUUUAGGCCACAUUCCUUCUUGCAGAUGAUAAAUCUUCCAUCACCCACAAUGUUGCCAAAUUUUGUGCAGCUGCUGAUAGCUACAACAGCUAACUUCUAGCCCUGCUUUCUAGAUGCCGCUACAAGAGGCUUCUAUAUUGGUGUCCUCUGUAUGACUGAAUUCUUAUCUGAAUGUAGUAUCAUUUGUUUGUUUGUACUUUAUUGUUUAUUGUACUUUAUUGUUUAUUACGAUCGAUGAUCGUAAUAAAGCUAUUCAUUCAAUACAAAUAGCAAAUAAAAAGGUUAGAAGAUUACAAUAAUUUAAAAUUUAAAACAAUGGUAGAACUAUUAAAAACAAACAAACAAACAAACUAUUAAAACAGGGCGAUGGAUCACCUGGGUCAACAAAUGUGUCUUGACGGCCUUAGAAGUCAUUUUGUCUUAGAAUAAUUCUUUCAAAAUGUGCCAUUGAUUUGAAAA